UCAGGAAGAUGGAAGAGGACAGCUUCAGUGAAGAGACUGGCGUGGGUGUUGCUGGACGGGGAGGCCCGCCCUGCACAGUCCCCUUGCCCACCGGGCAGUGACCAGCAGAUCUUGCCUUCGGGCUCUCAGUUCUGCUGGCCCUUGAGACGUGACCCCCAGAAACUUGCCCACUUGUCACUUCUGAAGAUUUCAAGGCCUUGAGUGAAGAAGGGGCUUCUCACCUUAACUCCCAGGGAGGUCCUUGUCUGUAACAUGGGAUGACAGUGACGCCUCCCCCACUCCCCCUUUGGUCGAGCCAAUGUAUGUGAAGCACUUAUGACAGAUGUGCCUGGUUCAUGCACAGAAUUACAGAUCUGAGGAGGCCAGUCCCUCCCUGUCCCCCUCCCUCGGGUCUCGGAGGAACGGAGACAGAAGGAAGCACCCACCCCGGACAGGAGCUGCUGGGGACCAGCACCCACCCCGGACAGGAGCUGCUGGGGACGUGUGUGUGGAGGGGCAGGAGAGACACUGGAGCCUGGGCUCCUGGCCUCCCAACCCAGACGCCCAUCAUCUCCCUCCUGAGGGCAGGGGUGGGGGGUGUUGCUUCAGGCAAGGGCCCCUUAUUCCCGGCUCCCUCAAAGAAAGUGGAGAUUAGGCCAGUCUCCUUCAUCUGAUGAACAAUUCCAUGGGAGGAGAGGGGAGGGGAGAGCAGGAGAGGGGAAGGGAGGGGAGCCCCCCACCUCAGUCUUCCUUACCCCUGCAAUAUCCUCACCCCUUUUUAUUCGGCUCUACCCUUUCAAAGCCUCCUGCAGUUUAAACCUGUUUCCAGGCUGGGCCAGGCACAAAGCCAGAGAAGAAGUAGACAGGAAGAGGGGGAAGAGGGGUGGAGUUUGGGGGACUCCCACUUCCCAUCUCCCCACCUAAGGAGGAUCCAGGGGCCACACUGCCCUGCAGUUCUCCGAGUGGGGGGAUGCAGGAUGUUUGUCCCCUGUUUUGGGUCCAUGUAUGUCUAAGGAGAAGCCGUCCCUGGGACUCGGGCAUCCCUUCACCCCCAUCAGGGGGUCAGGCUUGACCUCCAGCCACUGUGGCCUCAGUGACAGGAGCCGCAGCCUCUCGCCUGCUCCUGGGCCCAGCCCAGCCAACAGGGGGAGCCCCGAGAAAUGGUGGGUCACUGGGGGGCACCCAGGCCCUGGGAACAGGGGGUCUGGCUUGGGGGCCCCCAGGAAUGGCUGCUCCAGGGGAACAGGGGGCAGGAAGGGCCCUGAGAGGCAGGUCCAGUCAGAAGGGAGGGCGGGCAGGAGGGGAGGGGUGAAGGCAGCAAGGCCAGGCAGCUCAUCUUGGGGGAUCCCCAGAAGGCAGCAAGGGCCAAGCUGGCAGGGGGCCAGGAGAGAGCCAAGGCCUGGAGAGAGAGAGAGAGAGAGAGAGAGAGAGAGAGAGAGGAUCAGGAGGGAUGCCCCGCAUGUCCACCCAAGUCCCAUUUCCUUCUCCUCUCCCCAUGUGCACCUUCCUGUUUUCUUUGCUUCCAGUCUAUUUCCUAGGGGAGGCCACAAGACUCAGGUGGCCUGGGUGUGCCCCGCAGGGGCCCUUGGCCCGGUUGAGGGGGGCCGUUGGUGUGGUCACCCCCAGCUCUGAGGGACAAGACCCCUGCCCGUCUCCAUCUCCCUGGACCCAGCCCCACCUGGCACUUAUCAGGAGCUCAUAACACAACUUCGAUGAAGACAGGGUUUGCUGUAACUUGUGAAUCCUGUCUUCGCUCUAGUCGAGGCCCCGAGCUUGUCCCCGUGCUGGCCCCCUAGGGUGCAGGGCCUCUGCCCGGUAGGAUGAAGUGACAAGGCCAGUGCGUGGGGACACGCCUUGCCCUUCUCAGGCUGGUUGGGCCCUGGCUCUGCUCCCCUAGGAGCCUCCCCCACCCCUCCUUCCAGAUCUGCCCUCCAGUCCCCCUCAUGCCCCCCUGCCCUCCUGCUCCGCAAGCAUCCUGCAGUGGGGUGACCCGCCCUGGUCUGGGGCCCAAGGUGACCAGUGGAACCUCACACCACUGUCUUUAUUUCCAAAGGUCCAAUUCCCAUCUCUCCAGGUCCUUUCUUAGCAAGGCCACAUCAUUUGACCAAAGAGCAAGGCAAUCACAUCUGUCAGGGGGUGGUGGGGAGGGCUAGUUAAUAAAAACUGGAAAAAUGAAUUCAUUAUCGCCUAACACAUCCAGUAUAUUUGAAAGGAACAAUGUUUCUGAAGCGGGAUCUCUGAAGGGGAAACAGUAGACAUGGUCCUGCUUGAGGCAAAGGGUGCCCUCCCCGGGUCACUGUCCUUCCCUUCGGGUCCAUCCAGGACUCUGUGUCCUGGGGGCUCCCGAGGCUGUGGCUGGUCUGCCCUUGGAGCGCGGCUGAGCAGCUCAUGUAGAGAUGGCUCCCAGAGUCCUUCUGUCUCUUCCUCGCUUCCCUGCACCAGCCCCGCACCUGCCACCUCUGGUUCAACAGCCUUGGCCCCUCUUCAGCCCAGGAUCAGCUUCCUCUCUCUGCAUCAGUGCUCUGAGUGGACGUGGAGGGGACAGGCUGGACCCCAACCCAGAAGUGGGCCCUGUGGCUGUCACUAGCCUUCCGGUGACCGAAGCCAUGCAGGGCAUGUGUGUGCAACCCAUAGCGGGCAGGGAGGUGCCAAUAGCCCACUCCGGGCAGGGGGGGGGGCUUACUGGGGACACAUGGCUUCCCAAAGAGAAAGCUCUGUGCCCAAGGCCUUUCCCAGAGCCAGGAGGGUGAGCAGGGCUGGAAGAACAGGGGUGCUGUGCAGGCUCUGUCUAGCUCCAGAGGCAGACCAGUGGCCCUGCGAGUCCAGGCAUGCCCUGGGCUGCCCUAACCUGCAGCCUCAGCGGCCCUCCAGGGCCCAUAGCCAGGGCCUCUGGGCCCCCAGCUACCUACACGGGGGUAGGGCAAAGGCCAAGGGUCUUUAUCCCGUGAAACGGCCUGGAGAGGAGCGGUGGUAGGUCUGGGACCUCUGUAUCAAGCCUCGGGCUGCUCAAGUGUCUCUGUGACCUUCUUCACAGAGAAUCUGAUUUUGUCACUUCCCUAUUUACAGCCCUGGGAGAGCUGGCCUCUGCCAACGUUUCCACAGUCUCCCCAUGGGAUUGCUAGAGCUGCCAUGCUGGCCUUUCCCACAACCUUCUUCCUGCCCCAGGGCCUUUGCACACACCAUUCUCUCUGCUUGCCAUGCUCUCCUCUCUCCCUCUUCUGCCUGGAAGAUCUUCCCAAGCCUGCCAGUACCAGCCACGCACCUCCUCCAAACCAAAUUCUCUAUACAACCAAGUCAUCUUUGUGACAUGAAAAUCUCAACGUACCUCUUUCCUGGGUGCCUCCUGCCCAUGGGGUAAAGUUCAACUCCUCACCUGGGGAGCAAGAGGGGCUUCUGAGCCCUCUGUGACUGGACACCUGCUGCUUUGUCAGCUUCACCUGCCACCCCUCCUGCCUGUCCCCAUGCCUGUCACAUCCCUUCCUCUCUGAACAUGGCAAGCCACCAGUGGUCCUUCAGCUUUGCUACACUUGCCCACAGCUGUCAGCCUUUUUUUUUUU